rnacentral:tRNA from 1 species
GCCCCUGUAGCUCAAUUGGAUAGAGCAGUCCCGUCCUAAGGGAAAGGUUGACCGUUCGAGUCGGUCCAGGGGCGCCA